rnacentral:tRNA from 1 species
GAUGAUAUAGCUCAGUGGUAGAGUGUGUGCUUAGUAUGCACAAAACCCUAGGUUCAAUCUCCAGCACCUCCA